AAUGAGAAGCCUAACUCUGUUCGUGGAAGUCAUGGAAGAGAUUCUCAGAGAGUCAAGAGUUUACUCCAAUAGGAUGUACCCACGUGUCCGGGGUGCUUGGUCCAGAAUCAUGGAUUGUAUGCUCUGCACAAAUACAAGGUGAUGAUGAAGAAGCUGCAGAAAUAAUUAAUAUUGAGCUUCCGCCUCCAUCUUUCACAAGUAGACUUACAUCUGAAAGUUUUAAUAUUUUAUUUAUGGAUGAUAAUGAGGGAGAUCUUGAUUAGGAUUGAUGAUGAUGUUUGCCUUCAUCUUAUUUGAACUUUUAAAUUUUUUGUUCAUUUUUUAGAUUAUGUGAGACUUUGGUUUGAUAUAUGUUAAAUUUUAAAAUAUUUUAAAUAAAUUUUAAUGUUAAAUUUUA